AGGUGGGGCCGAGCAGCAAUGCUGCGUAGCGACGGUAUUGCACUUGUCCCGGCCUGU
rnacentral:pre_miRNA from 1 species